GACGAACGCUGGCGGCGUGCCUAAUACAUGCAAGUUGAGCGCUGAAGGUUGGUACUUGUACCGACUGGAUGAGCAGCGAACGGGUGAGUAACGCGUGGGGAAUCUGCCUUUGAGCGGGGGACAACAUUUGGAAACGAAUGCUAAUACCGCAUAAAAACUUUAAACACAAGUUUUAAGUUUGAAAGAUGCAAUUGCAUCACUCAAAGAUGAUCCCGCGUUGUAUUAGCUAGUUGGUGAGGUAAAGGCUCACCAAGGCGAUGAUACAUAGCCGACCUGAGAGGGGGAUCGGCCACAUUGGGACUGAGACACGGCCCAAACUCCUACGGGAGGCAGCAGUAGGGAAUCUUCGGCAAUGGACGAAAGUCUGACCGGGCAACGCCGCGUGAGGGAAGAAGGUUUUCGGAUCGUAAAAAUCUGUUGGUAGGGAAGAACGUUGGUGGGAGUGGAAAGCGCAUCAAGUGACGGUAACUACCCAGAAAGGGACGGCUAACUACGUG
rnacentral:rRNA from 1 species